AAGCAACGCGAAGAACUUACCAGGCCUUGACAUGCAGAGAACUUCCAGAGAUGGAUUGGUGCCUUCGGGAACUCUGACACAGGUGCUGCAUGGCUGUCGUCAGCUCGUGUCGUGAGAUGUUGGGUUAAGUCCCGUAACGAGCGCAACCCUUGUCCUUAGUUACCAGCACGUUAUGGUGGGCACUCUAAGGAGACUGCCGGUGACAAACCGGAGGAAGGUGGGGGAUGACGUCAAGUCAUCAUGGCCCUUACGGCCUGGGCUACACACGUGCUACAAUGGUCGGUACAAAGGGUUGCCAAGCCGCGAGGUGGAGCUAAUCCCAUAAAACCGAUCGUAGUCCGGAUCGCAGUCUGCAACUCGACUGCGUGAAGUCGGAAUCGCUAGUAAUCGUGAAUCAGAAUGUCACGGUGAAUACGCUCCCGGGCCUU
rnacentral:rRNA from 1 species